GUUUUGGGUUCUUUUAUUCUUUCACCUGCAAUUCCUCCUUUAUCUUUCCCUGAGUCUAACAUUUAGGGUUUGGUUUUUCUUCAACAGCUCAACUUCCUCUUGCGAAACCGUGGACUUCCCUGUGCAGAUAGAACAAGGAACUCUAAAUUAAUUGCUUUCGCUUUUUCAGUCAUCGACUGAGUGGAUUUUGAACGUUUUUUGAACAUCGUGUGAGCAAGUCCUCCCUCCGUCGUGCCGCCUCGUCCAUCACGACCUCAUCCGCCUGGACGCAGAAUGUGACGGCGUCUGACCCAGGAGAGAGGCGGCGGCCCUCUUUACCUGCUCUCCUCCUCCUCUCAUCUGAGCCAGCGAGGGCACUCAGAUCUGCAUUCGAAUCACUAUUUAUUCUUUGGAAGAGCCAGUUAUUUUUACUGUAGAGCUUGACAAACACGUCCACAAGAGAUCGGUUUGGAUGAUUACAGAACUAACCCAUACUUCAAGCCACCUGACACAGACCCUGCAGGGAGGGCAAGAAAUCUCUGGUGCUGAUUUCUACUUAGUGACUCACACGGCCCGCCAAGUAAGUCAGUCGUUUUCCUCUACCAACUUUGCAUCAUUUUUCUCUGCAAAUAAAGUGUUGACUAAGUCACAUACUGGUUUGAAUUUGACAGCAGCAUGACCCCUAAGCGGAACCCAGCCACACUUCUCUGUCUCUGUCUCGCUUUCCGUUUUUACUCGCCCCUGAAUCAAUUGUGAGAAAUGAUUCUGACCUGUAAAAUGGUUCGGAUCCUCUCAAGAUUCUUCUUUCGAUGGGGCCCCUGG
rnacentral:lncRNA from 1 species